rnacentral:rRNA from 1 species
UCCUGGCUCAGAUUGAACGCUGGCGGCAGGACCUAACACAUGCAAGUCGAGCGGGUUUCGGACCGUAGCGGCGGACGGGUGAGUAAUGCGUAGAAGCUACCCGACAGAGGGGGAUACCAGUUGGAAACGACUGUUAAUACCGCAUAAUGUCUACGGACCAAAGUNUGGGGACCUUCGGGGCCACAUGCUGUCGGAUGCGCCUACGUGGGAUUAGCUAGUUGGUGAGGUAAUGGCUCACCAAGGCGACGAUCCCUAGCUGGUUUGAGAGGAUGAUCAGCCACACUGGAACUGAGACACGGUCCAGACUCCUACGGGAGGCAGCAGUGGGGAAUAUUGGACAAUGGGCGCAAGCCUGAUCCAGCCAUGCCGCGUGUGUGAAGAAGGCCUUCGGGUUGUAAAGCACUUUCAGCGAGGAGGAAGGGUUGUGUGUUAAUAGCACAUAGCCUUGACGUUACUCGCAGAAGAAGCACCGGCUAACUCUGUG